rnacentral:tRNA from 1 species
GGUUUCUGGCUCAGUGGUAGAGCACUUGCCUAGCAUGUGUGAGGCACUGGGUUUGAAUCUCAGCACCA